ACAGAUGCUAAUACCGGAUAACAACACUAGACGCAUGUCUAGAGUUUGAAAGAUGGUUCUGCUAUCACUCUUGGAUGGACCUGCGGUGCAUUAGCUAGUUGGUAAGGUAACGGCUUACCAAGGCAAUGAUGCAUAGCCGAGUUGAGAGACUGAUCGGCCACAUUGGGACUGAGACACGGCCCAAACUCCUACGGGAGGCAGCAGUAGGGAAUCUUCCACAAUGGACGAAAGUCUGAUGGAGCAACGCCGCGUGAGUGAAGAAGGGUUUCGGCUCGUAAAGCUCUGUUGGUAGUGAAGAAAGAUAGAGGUAGUAACUGGCCUUUAUUUGACGGUAAUUACUUAGAAAGUCACGGCUAACUACGUGCCAGCAGCCGCGGUAAUACGUAGGUGGCAAGCGUUGUCCGGAUUUAUUGGGCGUAAAGCGAGUGCAGGCGGUUCAAUAAGUCUGAUGUGAAAGCCUUCGGCUCAACCGGAGAAUUGCAUCAGAAACUGUUGAACUUGAGUGCAGAAGAGGAGAGUGGAACUCCAUGUGUAGCGGUGGAAUGCGUAGAUAUAUGGAAGAACACCAGUGGCGAAGGCGGCUCUCUGGUCUGCAACUGACGCUGAGGCUCGAAAGCAUGGGUAGCGAACAGGAUUAGAUACCCUGGUAGUCCAUGCCGUAAACGAUGAGUGCUAAGUGUUGGGAGGUUUCCGCCUCUCAGUGCUGCAGCUAACGCAUUAAGCACUCCGCCUGGGGAGUACGACCGCAAGGUUGAAACUCAAAGGAAUUGACGGGGGCCCGCACAAGCGGUGGAGCAUGUGGUUUAAUUCGAAGCAACGCGAAGAACCUUACCAGGUCUUGACAUCCAGUGCAAACCUAAGAGAUUAGGUGUUCCCUUCGGGGACGCUGAGACAGGUGGUGCAUGGCUGUCGUCAGCUCGUGUCGUGAGAUGUUGGGUUAAGUCCCGCAACGAGCGCAACCCUUGUCAUUAGUUGCCAUCAUUAAGUUGGGCACUCUAAUGAGACUGCCGGUGACAAACCGGAGGAAGGUGGGGAUGACGUCAAGUCAUCAUGCCCCUUAUGACCUGGGCUACACACGU
rnacentral:rRNA from 1 species